rnacentral:rRNA from 1 species
AUGCGCUAUGUAGUUUAUACUAUGGUCAUCGCCAUGCUGUUUAUGAUUUUUGUUUGGAAGGUUUUGGAUGGGGCAGCCAAGGACCGCGAGCGGGUCGCCGCCAUGGAGGACGCUGCUUAUAAGGCUGCGUAUGAUGUUGCGGAGGUGGCCAAGGUGGCUGUUGAGGCUGCCAAGAAGACCGUCGAGAAGCUCAACAGCGUGGAUCGCUGCAAUCUAGCCGCGGGCGUUGUGGGCGGUGUUCCGCCCGUUAGCCCAGACGAGGGAUCCCUGCCCCCUGCAACUUUGGAUCAAGCAUGGAACACGUUGUAUGAGCUUGUCCAGAAGCUGAGGCUCGCCGUGGAUAAGGCGGAAUGCCUGAAAGCCCAAGGAAGGUAUUGCUCGCGUGAACAAAUGGUGGACAAUUGUUGCGUGUUCAUCUUUCAUUUCGGCUGUUUGUGCACAUUACGCAGGUUCUGUUUGUGCAGGAUUUGCAUUUUACCACUACCUGGAGAUACAGACCAAGUGCGUGAGGAGUCUCCUGACUAUAUUUCUGUUCGUGCUUGUUAG